rnacentral:snRNA from 1 species
GUGCUCGCUUUGGCAGCACUUCUACUAAAAUUGGAACAAUACAGAGAAGAUUAGCAUGGCUCCUCCACAAGGAUGAUAUGCAAAUUCAUGAAGUGUUCCAUAUUUUU